rnacentral:tmRNA from 1 species
GGGGGUGAAAGGACUCGACUUAAAGGGAAGGUAAAGGAGUGCAUGCCGGUGGAGAUAACCCCGCCGUAAAGAGGGUUAUCAAAAAAUAAAGGCAACACCUUUUGUUGCUACCACUCCUUGGUCGGUUUGUUAAACCAAGGGCUCUUAUCCUUCUUGCCUCAGGAAGGAUAAGGGUUCGGAAACGAGGCUAGAGGAUAACCUUUACCCUGAAGGUUAUCUUUGAAAAUCAGCAGGGCUGCUCCCCUAUCCAUCCUGCCUUUCGGAGGGGUAAGGGAAAAGACAAAAGAAAGGCUAAGCAUGUAGGACUUCUUUACCAACCUUUUAAGGACGCGGGUUCGAUUCCCGCCACCUCCACCA